rnacentral:rRNA from 1 species
GACGAACGCUGGCGGCGUGCUUAACACAUGCAAGUCGAGCGGUAAGGCCCUUUCGGGGGUACACGAGCGGCGAACGGGUGAGUAACACGUGGGUGACCUGCCCUCAGCUCUGGGAUAAGCCUGGGAAACCGGGUCUAAUACUAGAUAUGACUCCAUGACGCAUGUUGUGGGGUGGAAAGCCUUGUGCGGCUGAGGAUGGGCCCGCGGCCUAUCAGCUUGUUGGUGGGGUGANGGCCUACCAAGGCGACGACGGGUAGCCGGCCUGAGAGGGCGACCGGCCACACUGGGACUGAGACACGGCCCAGACUCCUACGGGAGGCAGCAGUGGGGAAUCUUGCGCAAUGGGCGAAAGCCUGACGCAGCGACGCCGCGUGAGGGAUGACGGCCUCGGUG